rnacentral:rRNA from 1 species
UACGGAGGAUCCAAGCGUUAUCCGGAUUUAUUGGGUUUAAAGGGUGCGUAGGCGGCCCUGUAAGUCAGUGCUGAAAUAUCCCGGCUUAACCGGGAGGGUGGCAUUGAUACUGCGGGGCUAGAGUACAGAUGAGGUAGGCGGAAUUGACGGUGUAGCGGUGAAAUGCUUAGAUAUCGUCAAGAACACCUAUAGCGAAGGCAGCUUACUAGGCUGUAACUGACGCUGAGGCACGAAAGUGUGGGGAUCAAACAGG